CAAUAGCGUAUAUUAAAGUUGUUGCAGUUAAAAAGCUCGUAGUUGGAUUUGUGGCGUACGGUAUGUUCCGGGCACUUGUUGUCUGAGUAACCUGCUGUUGCCAUCCUUGGGUGGAACCUGUGUGGCAUUAGGUUGUCGUGCAGGGGAUGCCCAUCAUUUACUGUGAAAAAAUUAGAGUGUUCAAAGCAGGCUUAUGCCGUUGAAUAUAUUAGCAUGGAAUAAUGAGAUAGGACUUUUUUGCUAUUUUGUUGGUUUGCGCAAAGAGGUAAUGAUUAAUAGGGACAGUUGGGGGUAUUCGUAUUCCAUUGUCAGAGGUGAAAUUCUUGGAUUUUUGGAAGACGAACUACUGCGAAAGCAUUUACCAAGGAUGUUUUCAUUAA
rnacentral:rRNA from 1 species